GACGAACGCUGGCGGCGUGCUUAACACAUGCAAGUCGAACGGUAAGGCCCUUCGGGGUACACGAGUGGCGAACGGGUGAGUAACACGUGGGUGAUCUGCCCUGCACUUCGGGAUGAGCCUGGGAAACUGGGUCUAAUACCGGAUAGGACUCCUGGCUUCAUGGUUGGGGGUGGAAAGCUUUUGCGGUUGGGGGUGGGGCCGCGGCCUAGCGGCUGGUUGGUGGGGUAAUGGCCUACCAAGGCGACGACGGGCAGCCGGCCGUAGAUGGUGACCGGUCACACGGGGACGGGGAUACGGCCCAGCCUCCUACGGGAGGCAGCAGUGGGGAAUAUUGCACAAUGGGCGCAAGCCUGAUGCAGCGACGCCGCGUGAGGGAUGACGGCCUUCGGGUUGUAAACCUCUUUCAGCUAUGACGAAGCGCAAGUGACGGUAGUAGCAGAAGAAGGACCGGCCAACUACGUGCCAGCCGCCGCCGUAA
rnacentral:rRNA from 1 species